rnacentral:rRNA from 1 species
AGCGAACGCUGGCGGCAGGCCUAACACAUGCAAGUCGAACGAAGUCUUCGGACUUAGUGGCGGACGGGUGAGUAACACGUGGGAACGUACCUUUUGGUUCGGAAUAACGCAGGGAAACUUGCGCUAAUACCGAAUGUGCCCUUAGGGGGAAAGAUUUAUCGCCAUUAGAGCGGCCCGCGUUGGAUUAGGUAGUUGGUGUGGUAAAGGCGCACCAAGCCUACGAUCCAUAGCUGGUCUGAGAGGAUGAUCAGCCACACUGGGACUGAGACACGGCCCAGACUCCUACGGGAGGCAGCAGUGGGGAAUCUUGCGCAAUGGUCGAAAGACUGACGCAGCCAUGCCGCGUGAAUGAAGAAGGCCUUAGGGUUGUAAAACUCUUUCGCCGGAGAAGAUAAUGACGGUAUCCGGAGAAGAAGCCCCGGCUAACUUCGUGCCAGCCGCCGCGGUAAGAC